rnacentral:ncRNA from 1 species
AUUUGAUGAGGGCAAACAUGUGGAAACAUAUGGACGCAAAGUUGGGAGUCUAAGGGGAUAAAGAUAAUAAGACAUUAUAUAACGUAUUUAGAGAUAUUUCUAAGAUAGUCCGACCGCAAUG